UCCUGGCUCAGGAUGAACGCUAGCGGCGCGCUUAACGCAUGCAAGUCGAGCGAUGAGGCUCCCUUCGGGGAGUACAUCAGCGGCAGACGGGUGAGUAACACGUAGAUAACCUGCCCUCAAGACGGGGACAACCGGUGGAAACAGCGGCUAAUACCCGAUAUGCUCACAGGAUCGGGAGAUCGAGUGAGGAAAGCGCCCCUUCGGGGGAGAGUGUUUGAGGAGGGAUCUGCGGCCCAUCAGCUAGUUGGUGAGGUAACGGCUCACCAAGGCGAAGACGGGUAGGGGGUGUGAGAGCAUGGCCCCCCACAAUGGGACUGAGACACGGCCCAUACUCCUACGGGAGGCAGCAGCGGGGAAUAUUGCGCAAUGGACGGAAGUCAGACGCAGCGACGCCGCGUGGGUGAGGAAGGCCCUCGGGUUGUAAAGCCCUUUUCAGGGGAGCGAGAAAGGACGGUACCCUUGGAAUAAGCGUCGGCUAACUACGUGCCAGCAGCCGCGGUAAGACGUAGGACGCAAGCGUUAUCCGGAUUUACUGGGCGUAAAGCGCCUGUAGGCGGUCAAGUAAGUCGGAUGUGAAAGCCCCGUGCUCAACGCGGGGAAGCCAUUCGAUACUGCGUGACUAGAGAACGGCAGAGGGAAACGGAAUUUCUGGUGUAGCGGUAAAAUGCGCAGAGAUCAGAAAGAACACCGAUGGCGAAGGCAGUUUCCUAGGCCGCAUCUGACGCUGAGAGGCGAAAGCUAGGGGAGCAAACAGGAUUAGAGACCCUGGUAGUCCUAGCUGUAAACGAUGGAUGCUAGGUGUGGGCCGGAAAGGUCCGUGCCGUAGUUAACGCGAUAAGCAUCCCGCCUGGGGAGUACGG
rnacentral:rRNA from 1 species